UGCUCGAUAUUUAGCAUGUUAUUUAUAAAUAAUAAAAUAUGACGUGGUAUAUUACUAUGAAAAAUAAUCAAUAGCAAAGUAGUGUCAUGAAGUAAAGUUGCUGCUCCAUAGUUAUAUUCCAGUUCUAUUCACAGUAUGUCCCAGAGCGUUUUAUUCCUCUUAUACCGUAGCAGUUCGCCAACGAUUUCAAUUUUUUUAUUUACUUUUUGUCUGUUUAUAGUUAUAUUUAAUGUUGUGGAAUGACCGCAAAACAAGUAAGUUCCUGUUCUCACUUACUCACAGCGAUACAUACGCUAAGAUAUUAGAACGAGCGCAUUCAGAUAAACCCGUGAUUUGCAGCUGCACUACUGUCAGAGCUGCUGUUUGUUCAUUGUUAUUUUUGGUGGACAUUUUUGCUUCUCCAUAAUUGCGAGCAGUCCAGACUCAUGAUAGGGUUUUUCUUUCAGCAGUGACAUUUUGUUGGCCUGAUGUUUUGGUUCUUGUUGAGCCCCAUCACUAGAACAUUGACAUGCUGUGAUUGUCCUGCUUUGUGGAGACACUUUCUGUUAUUCUUAGACCUUAAGGAAGUCUCUAGUGGUCCACAUGGUUACAAGGGCAUUCCUUUUAAACCCUCCCCAUUCCCAUAUAGAGCUGGACGCUUGCCAUUUAUAUUUAGCUCCGUGCUCAGAGAUGAAACCGAUACGUGUGUAAAGGCAUUACAUACAAUCCGUGAGGCCCUGCGGUUUUCAGAGUGGACAUGAAGCACUCAUGUCCUGACCACAAAUGCUCUCUCUGGAGAAGAACACUGCAGGCUCUUCAUGGCCUACUUUGUGUGAGAGGCAGGAGGAGUGAUGGGAUCAGCAUGUCUCUCUCUCUCUCUCUCACACACACACACAUGAAACCAAAGGUUCUGGCUUUAGGAUCUGUGUUUAUAGUACCAGUACUGCUGUAGUGCUUUUCUACUGCACAUUGUGUUAGGGUACUGUGUAGUUACUAACCCAAAACUAUUCACAUCCUGGUUGACUACUGGAUCUGCUACCUCAUUUGUGUCGCUGUGUCUUUUGUUUUCUUUUGUGGCCGUGUAGCGACCGCUACCAUUGUGAGUGCUGUGGACUGUUGUGGGCCUAUCCAGCGUGUUUUUUCUUCCUGAUGAAAAAAAUGGAGCUCUCUGGUCCAGGCCUGCAGUGGUGAGGUCUUGUUUGAAUUAGCUUACAGGCGGUGAAAAUGAAAAGCGCCCCACUGUGAUGUGAAGAGCCUGGCCUGAAGGGCUUACUCAGACCGUCUCUGGCUGAAAAGCAUAUUUAUAUCUUCCAGACCAGUAAUUAAUCACCCCUGGUUGCUAGCGCUGGUGGUACAGGAGGGACGUCUCUUGUCUUCUUGGUUGAAGGUCAGAGUCCAGAGGAUUAAUGGACGUGACAUGGAAGCAGGUCAGCACUGCAGUACUUCGGAAUUCUUAACAAUGCCAGAAGUCACACUCCUGAUUCUCACUCUGCCGUUGCUCUUUUUUCCCAUCGUGCUUACACCAGACCACUGUUCGGAAUUCUUGCAGCAGUUCUCCGGUAUCCAGGUGAGAUUAAACACGGAAGCAAAGCUGUGACUUAAACUGUUUCUGAGAAGUCCAAAUCUUUAAGGAAUCCAUUUGAGACCAUCCACAGGAGCAGAAAGUGAGUCACCAAGCCAAAACGUUAAAUUUCAGCACGGCAUAUUGUGGUUAGAUGAAACCAUCAAACAGUGGAGCUGGACUUCAUGCUGCUCCUCGCUCAAGCUGAUAAGAAGAAGAAGAAGAAGAAGAAGAAGAAGAAGAAGAAGAAGAAGAAGAAGAAGGAGAAGAAGUGCAAGGUCAGGAUCGAGCCACUGUUUUUUCACUGUCCCAAUAGUGCGUAAGUCUGUACAUCUAAGUUCUGUAUACCAAUGUGCACAAUUUCAGUAUUAACUCCUCACUACAACUCAACUCUGAAUAAAAGUAUAUAACCGUACUAGAAUAGAAACCUAUUCUAAAUGCACCUAUUAAAUCUCCCGGCACUGAUAUCAGUCCUUAGAGCUUCAUUCUUCUCCUAUAGGACUUUGGUGUAUUGCUUGUGAAGAUCAGGGCAUUGUCCUAGUGACCUCGAGCUCUGGAAGUGGAAUGAGUUCAGGUUAGCUCUUUCUGUGUGAAGCAGCUUGAGUGAAUGACAGUUGAGAGGGAACGUUUGACUGCCUCUCAUGAGCACCGGGGAAAUGGAGAAGGAGGGGUGAAAGGGCAGAUGUCUGCCACAGAAUUUAAUUAGGGAGACGGCAUCCUUUGUCCUCGAUAUUGUUGCUGCAGGCGUUCUUUAAUUGCCCCCCCAACCUAAAUCCCUGGUGUCUCUUAGGUUCAUUAGCAUUUAUUCCAAAUGAGAACUGCAGCAUUCAGACUUACCUUUAAUUCAUUCUUAUGCAGACUAAAAUAUGUAGACGUUCAAAUGCCAAUUACGCUGGUUUUCCUUGUUUUUCAGAUGUUUGCCUGCUUACAUCUUGAGCCUCUUGUUUACAAAAAAAAGCUACUCUAAUUGCUGACUGCUUCAUUUAGAUACUAUCAGAGCCUACGUAAGGAGUAAAGACUCUGUGUUGUGCUGUUAUAGGAAAAUAAUCCACAACAGGGUGGUAUAAUGAAGAAGAGUUACCGUUACCACCUCAGAAAAAAUAAUGAUUGCAAUGUAAUUUAUUUAUUAAUUACACGUUCUGUUGUUUAACCUUUAUAGUUACAUUUAAUGUUGUGGAACAUUCGUGAAACAAGUAAGUUCCUGUUCUCACUUACGUUAUAGCAGCUAGAUACUUUUUUUCUCUCUUGAAGUUAAUGAGGCAGCUUGUCAUGUUACUGAGAAACAACAAAGUGUAAACUCUUCUGUUCUGAAGACAUUACUUAUGAUGGAAAACUGACACUGGAGACUCCUUCCUUAAAUAAACCUCUCCUUACAGAAAACUUUACCAUAUCAACGAUUAUAUGUUAGAUUAUGUAGAUCAUACACCAUACAAGUCCCUGUGAAUAAGCUCUUACUAUAGAAACAUUAACAACAGUUACUUUAAAAUGAUAAUCUGACCAAUCAGAUUGGAGAAUUUAACAGCGCUGUGGGAAAAAGUGUUUGUAAAAACUCAAAUGGCAAUCCAAGCAUGUGAUUACACUACAAAUGUGAUACAAAAAGUGUUCCAUGCUCUCCGUCCUCUCCCUGGGAUCCGUCCAUGGAGCGCACCUCCAGACCUCAGAGACAGGAGAAAGAGCAUGUGUAUAAUAAACAGGAAGUGGCCUGAGGGUCUCCUGCGGUGUCUUAGGGGCUCAGCCAUACCAAUAUGUAUUCAAAAGAGCUGCCGCUGUGGGGAUCAGCCCCACCCUACGGCGAGCUUAGACACAAAGGAGAAGACUUUACUGAGGAUUUCACCCACCGCUCCUGAGAGACUGAUAGCUGGAGUUGAAGGCUUUUAUCUGUGCCUGCCGGUCCCCUGACAUCAUAACCCAAAGACUCAUAAGCACCCGGCCAUUGUCAAUGUAUGAUUAUGUGCAUCUAUUGAUGUCUAUUGACUGUUUUUCAU